rnacentral:rRNA from 1 species
UCUAUGGCUAAUACAUGCGCAAAGAUUUUCUCCUUUGGGGAGGAUCUGUGUUUAUUAGAUACAAAACCAACCCACACAUGUGUGGAGUCAUGGUGAUUCAUAGUAACCGAACGGAUCGCAGUUGGUUUCGGCCCGCGAUGGAUCAUUCAAGUUUCUGACCUAUCAGCUUUCGACGGUAGGGUAUUGGCCUACCGUGGCAGUGACGGGUAACGGGGAAUUAGGGUUCGAUUCCGGAGAGGGAGCCUGAGAAACGGCUACCACAUCUAAGGAAGGCAGCAGGCGCGCAAAUUACCCAAUGAAAACAGUUUCGAGGUAGUGACGAGAAAUAACAAUACAGGGCAAAAUUUGUUCUGUAAUUGGAAUGAUGGGAAUGUAAAACCCUUCCAGAGUAACAAUUGGAGGGCAAGUCUGGUGCCAGCAGCCGCGGUAAUUCCAGCUCCAAUAGUGUAUAUUAGAGUUGUUGCAGUUAAAAAGCUCGUAGUUGGAUUUCUGUCGUAGGUCAUCCGGCGCUGCCUGUAUGGGUGUGCGCGUGGUUUGCCCGCGGCAUUUUUUCGGCAGCUUGCAGCGCUUAAUUGCGUUUGUAGGUGAUCCGGAACUUUUACUUUGAGAAAAAUAGAGUGUUUCAAGCAGGCUUGUUGCCCUGAAUACUUCAGCAUGGAAUAAUAAGAUAGGACCUUGGUUCUAUUUUGUUGGUUUUUAGGACCAAGGUAAUGAUUAAUAGGGACAGUUGGGGGCAUUCGUAUUUAACUGUCAGAGGUGAAAUUCUUAGAUUUGUUAAAGACGAACUACUGCGAAAGCAUUUGCCAAGGAUGUUUUCAUUAAUCAAGAACGACAGUAGGGGGUUUGAAGACGAUUAGAUACCGUCGUAAUCUCUACCAUAAACUAUGCCGACUAGAGAUAGGGAAAUGCCUACCUUGGCUUCUCCUGCACCUCAUGAGAAAUCAAAGUCUCUGGGUUCUGGGGGGAGUAUGGUCGCAAGGCUGAAACUUAAAGGAAUUGACGGAAGGGCACCACCAGGCGUGGAGCCUGCGGCUUAAUUUGACUCAACACGGGGAAACUCA